UUUCAUUAAUAAUUAUAAAAUAAAUAUUUCUCUAAAUCAUAGUGUGUACAUAUUGGGAUUUGACUCCUAAUUUAAAAAGUACUCGACAAGAAAUUGCAACAUAUUAUAGUCGCAAACUUCCUGAGUUACUCCAUUAUAAUGACAGCCAAAUUGGGAUUCUUCUAUACCGUACCAAAAGUGUUUGGAAUUGUGAAAAAAAUAUUUUCCCUCAGGAUUGAAUCCAAAAUAAUCUUCAUGCCAGAAAUUGGGAAGGUACCAUACCACCAAAUCUUCCACUGUGUUGUGUACAUAGGAGAAGUACCCACCUCCAAUUAAGUAAUAAGGUCCCAUUGACAGAGAGAAAUUUUUAAUAAAAAUCAUCUUUUCUUGCAUAAAUUCUCUCAAGAAAGGAUAAUUCUUCUUGAAGUCGAUGUUUUUCCAGAAGAAACCUCCAAAUUCUGGACAAACUUGCCAGAAACCUGCUUCAAUAGCCAUCCUGGAGAUAGAACAGUAUAGGGAUUGAACUAAAGAAUAGGCUUGACCAAGACACUGUAAGAAUUGAUAGAUGUCUCCCUCACAAUAUCGAAACAAAAGCUCAAUGGAUAUGAUUAAAUACUUCCCUUUCACAAAACCUAUUUUAUUUUUAUAAAAAAAAUUCAGAAUUUCUGGGAAAGAAAUUUUGCAGUCAUCUAGAAUUCCUUCUGGCAUCUCCCAUAACUUUUGAAAGACAGGACCAACAGAGAAGCUUUCUUUAGUAGUCUCAAUCUCCCUGACAAGUUUCCAUGAUUUUUCUUCGAGUUUUUUAUUCUUUAUCAUCAAGGCCUCUAAAGAAUCAAAUUUUCUCGAUAAUCUAUUAAAAUACUGGUUCAAGUAAUCAUCAAACACUACUACCCAAUGACGAGGCAGCUCAAUAUAAGCACAAAAACAGGGACAAUGCUCAAGAAGUUGAAGGAAUUCUUCACUCUCUUUUUUGCUUAGUUCAUGAGAUGGGUAGCCAUGGAAAGAGUAGCAAGUGGGGCAAUACAGGCCAUCUGGUACCUGCACAAAUUUUCCAGAAAAAGUUGGAGACAAUAGCUUUUCAUUAGAGGGAGAUGUUUCCAAGAACAUAGAGGGAACAUGAAGGUCCUUCUGAGGUUGCUUUUCUUUGCUUCCCAUCAAGCCAUGGGGCAAUAUCAUCUCCAUCUUCGAAUAUUUGAAUGGUUUUCUCAGAAAAUUUUCCUUUUUUUUGUACGUUUUCCUCAAAAGUCCAGCCUCGGUUGAAACACCCUUCAAUCUUCUUUUUCAUAGUAGAAUUCAUCAAGUUUUGCUUUAUAGGCAGAGCAAUGAAAGAUGAUAAUCAAUUUUAAACAAGGGAAAGAGCAUUUAAAUAGGUUGCUAAAAGAAAUGAUUUUUUGAAAUAUAAAUCUCUUAUAUUACAAGACACAUCGAUCGAUCUAUCUAUUGAUCGAACCAAAUGAGAAUAAAU
rnacentral:misc_RNA from 1 species